AUUGAACGCUGGCGGCAUGCCUUACACAUGCAAGUCGAACGGUAACAGGGAGCUUGCUCCGCUGACGAGUGGCGAACGGGUGAGUAACGUAUCGGAACGUACCUUUCAGUGGGGGAUAACUGUCCGAAAGGACAGCUAAUACCGCAUAUUCUGUGAGCAGGAAAGCAGGGGAUCGCAAGACCUUGCGCUGAUUGAGCGGCCGAUAUCAGAUUAGCUAGUUGGUGAGGUAAAGGGCUCACCAAGGCGACGAUCUGUAGCGGGUCUGAGAGGAUGAUCCGCCACACUGGAACUGAGACACGGUCCAGACUCCUACGGGAGGCAGCAGUGGGGGAAUUUUUGGA
rnacentral:rRNA from 1 species